rnacentral:rRNA from 1 species
UACGGGGGGGUAAGCGUUGUUCGGAAUUACUGGGCGUAAAGGGCUCGUAGGCGGCCAACUAAGUCAGACGUGAAAUCCCUCAGCUUAACUGGGGAACUGCGUCUGAUACUGGAUGGCUUGGAUUCGGGAGAGGAAUGCGGAAUUCCAGGUGUAGCGGUGAAAUGCGUAGAUAUCUGGAGGAACACCGGUGGCGAAGGCGGCAUUCUGGACCGACAUUGACGCUGAGGAGCGAAAGCCAGGGGAGCAAAGC